UCUGGAUUAGUGCUGCUGGAAGAGCACAGCAGUUCAGGCAGCAUCCGAGGAGUUUUGCAUUUGGUCUUUACUGAUUUGGGGGGGCGGGGGGCCCCCGCAGCAUUGCUUAUCCUGAAUGGCAAACCGGAUAUAUGUGCCCCGCCCUCUUUCCGACUGGCCGACGUGUCUGUCAAUCACGGUCCGUUUCCGGUUGCUGCGGAAGAAGUGGAAAAUUCCGCAGAAAGCGACGGUUCCGUGAAGCCGGCUCCGCGACAUAACAAACCCCGGCUGGAUGCAUUAUUCCAAGCUGUCUCAGACACUAUGUGUUCAACAUCGCCAGGGGCCGCUGAUUUGAAAGGGGUGAGGUGGUGCUACUAAGUUCCUCCCCGCCUCCCUCCACCUCCCGCACCCCCGGGCGGCUGGGCGCUGCUGGCGGCCUCGCCGGUUGAUGCGAGAGGACCUGGUGCCGUCGGUACUCACCUGCCACGGAAACAUCAACGGACUGCUGUGGUUCAAGAAGACUGCUCGCCACCACCUUGAGUGCCAUGAGGGAUGGGUAAUAAAUGCUGGUCUUGCCAGCGGUACUCACUUCCCAUGGAAAAUAAAAUACCUUUUAAAAAAUUA